rnacentral:rRNA from 1 species
ACCGGCAAACGGGUGCGGAACACGUACACAACCUUCCUAUAAGUGGGGAAUAGCCCAGAGAAAUUUGGAUUAAUACCCCGUAACAUAACGAUGUGGCAUCACAUUGUUAUUAUAGCUUCGGCGCUUAUUGAUGGGUGUGCGGCUGAUUAGAUAGUUGGCGGGGUAACGGCCCACCAAGUCUACGAUCAGUAGCUGAUGUGAGAGCAUGAUCAGCCACACGGGCACUGAGACACGGGCCCGACUCCUACGGGAGGCAGCAGUAAGGAAUAUUGGUCAAUGGACGCAAGUCUGAACCAGCCAUGCCGCGUGAAGGAUUAAGGUCCUCUGGAUUGUAAACUUCUUUUAUCUGGGACGAAAAAAGGCUUUUCUAAGUCACUUGACGGUACCAGAUGAAUAAGCACCGGCUAACUCCGUGCCAGCAGCCGCGGUAAUACGGAGGGUGCAAGCGUUAUCCGGAUUCACUGGGUUUAAAGGGUGCGUAGGCGGGCAGGUAAGUCAGUGGUGAAAUCCUGGAGCUUAACUCCAGAACUGCCAUUGAUACUAUCUGUCUUGAAUAUUGUGGAGGUAAGCGGAAUAUGUCAUGUAGCGGUGAAAUGCUUAGAUAUGACAUAGAACACCUAUUGCGAAGGCAGCUUACUACGCAUAUAUUGACGCUGAGGCACGAAAGCGUGGGGAUCAAACAGGAUUAGAUACCCUGGUAGUCCACGCCCCAAACGAUGGAUACUCGACAUACGCG